UGGGGAAUAUUGCACAAUGGGCGCAAGCCUGAUGCAGCCAUGCCGCGUGUAUGAAGAAGGCCUUCGGGUUGUAAAGUACUUUCAGCGGGGAGGAAGGGAGUAAAGUUAAUACCUUUGCUCAUUGACGUUACCCGCAGAAGAAGCACCGGCUAACUCCGUGCCAGCAGCCGCGGUAAUACGGAGGGUGCAAGCGUUAAUCGGAAUUACUGGGCGGAAAGCGCACGCAGGCGGUCUGUCAAGUCGGAUGUGAAAUCCCCGGGCUCAACCUGGGAACUGCAUUCGAAACUGGCAGGCUAGAGUCUUGUAGAGGGGGGUAGAAUUCCAGGUGUAGCGGUGAAAUGCGUAGAGAUCUGGAGGAAUACCGGUGGCGAAGGCGGCCCCCUGGACAAAGACUGACGCUCAGGUGCGAAAGCGUGGGGAGCAAACAGG
rnacentral:rRNA from 1 species